UUAGUAUUGGCAGUAGCUUUCCGAACUUCAGCAGAAAGAGACUGUUAUUUGAUGUUGGAUUUUCUGGGUACUGCCGCAAGUUCUUAGUGAGGGUGGAUGGAUAUAACAUAAGGUUGUGUAGACACUGUUGCCUGUAAAAGAUGCGUUGCUGCCUGCAAAUUCUUUGACGCAGUCAUAGUGGUUCAGUUGUUGCUUUGCUUUCGCUUUUUAAGAAAAACCCUUUGUUCUAUCCAGUUGUCAAAAUUUUAACCUAAGAUAUCUCACUUGCUAGUUGAAAUCCCACACUACACACUUUUCUUGCAGUGGUGUAUGUCAGAUGCCCUGAAGAAUUUGCAGUGAUCCCCUAACAAUGUCUCAUUUGUAAUAAUGUCAGUCUGGCAAGCGGAUUUUAGAUUAAUAUAAACAUAAAAGAAGCAGUUGUUUUAGCCACCUUUCCUGGAACUGUUGAUUUAUUUGAAGCCAAUAAAGUAUUUUUGACACCCUUCUAGGGGCAUAAUAGACUGAUUGCUUGUCUCACUGACAAAAAUGUAUACCCCCGAUUUUAGGACUUUCCUUACAAUAGAAAACCUAGACUUAUUCAUGCUGUGCUUUAUCAAAGACCUCUCUUUUAAAUCAUCUCUAUAGUCUCUCUCCAGUACUUGAAGAACACUUUGUGCGAAAAGGCAGUAGUAUUUUGGCAACAGUCAUGAGUUGUUUUGUAGGGUUUUUGUGUGUGUGUGCAAGCUUAACCUGGAGGAUACCAGUGACAAAAUUAAUCUUCACACUUCUGGAGUCAAUGUGAUGUAAAGAACUGUUACUUGCACUUUCCUUCUUUCGCUGAAAAUAGUACUUUUCCUAAUGCAGUAUUUAAUGAAAUUAUUCAAGAAAAUGCAUAUCAAAAGUCUAUGAACUUUUUGCAUUUUCCAAAAUUUGAAUUUGGUACAAUUCUGCAGUUGUCUAGCAUAAAACUUUAGCUUUCCAUUUUGUUGCAUAUGUACUUUUAGUACAUAUGUUAGACAUUCCUACAUACCCUGUACAUAUCCCUGUAACUGUAUAUAAAAAGUAGUCAGUGUGUGGCUUUAGCCAUAAGUGCUAAUAAAAAGAAUAGCUGGAAGGAUUGGAAAGAAGUUAAGCCUAUUAAUUUAUGUUCAGUGGUAAGAGGAACUAGCUGAUAACUGGGUUCCCUCACCAGCUAAAAGAAUUGUGGUUAAUCACAGAGGCAGUAUUGUGCAUGUAAUAUUUAGCACACUAUUUGGAAACCUCAAUCUUUGGAUAUUUUGCAAUUUAUAGACAGGGAAGAUCCAGUUGUCAGCUGGAAGAAUAAGUAGUUGAUAUGGAAUGUACAGCUUGUGUAUUAAAAUACUUCUCAGAAAUAAA
rnacentral:lncRNA from 1 species